GGCACCAAUAACACUGGGGGGUAUUCUGUCACAGCCCCCUCUGCGAUGCUGCCACACGGGCAGCUCCAAAGUCUUACAAUUCAAGUGUGAUUUUCAUUUUUUAUUUUUUUUUUAUCUUGGAGAAGUUCAACCUGUGUAUUACACACAUCAGGAAAGAAGAUUGUGGUGCCCAAGUGGAAAUGGAAUAAUUGACUUUGUCACGUAAUAACUGGAUGCUGACUGGACUCCAACUGAAGCUGUGAUUUUCCGUUCACUUUUGCAUGAGGAGGCUUUGCUCCAAAUAUCAAGGAUUAUAGCUGAAAUUGUCUCCAUAAUACCAUGGCGGAAGGAGCUGCCUCCUCCUCCUCCUCCACAGCCAGUGGGUCCAGUGGAGCAGCUCCACCACAGACGAUCCCCGUCAAGUCCAAAGGUCUGGGCCUCCUCGGGAAGCUGAAAGUGUCCGCGGAGCUGCUGGUGGCUCUGGCUGCUCUCCUGUCCUGGGUGGUGGUCGGAGUAGUGAUGUUUGACUUUGUGGAGUACAAGGCAGUCCCUGACAUUCAGCAAAUCGUUUCGGACCCCAUUGGAGCUGUAAACGACGCCGUCGAGGAAGCAUCCAGUCUACUCAAUAAGUUUCAGGAAUGUGCACCCGAUUUAAGUGACCCCACGUCCGCUGCCACCUACGUAGCUAAAGAAAUAUCUGAUGCAAAAGAUGGAUUUGUUCGCUAUUUUUCCGAUGAGGAAGGGAACUUCUACCUCAGCUAUGUUGACCCUGUGAUCAUCGGUAGACAAGCUUUCCAUUCGACCAAUGACUUAAUGCGUGGAGUCGUGGGCACCUUCAAGGACACAUUGUGCGCCAUUGUAGACGCCGCAUUAAAUACUAUAUCGGAUGUAAAUAAAGGAGAAGUUGACCUUAGCUGCAUUGACCCUGUGGUCGUAGGCCGAGGUGUCUUCAAUGUUACUAAUGGGUUUGUGUGUGGAGUGGGGAGCUACAUCCGGGAUGUGCUGUGUGCCCUUCUGGACACAAUUCUGGAUGUAGUGAAAGGAACCUCAGGAACCGUGGAUACUCCCUCCGUGGACCCUGUUGUAGUUGGCAGAAAUGUCUUCAGUCUUACAAAUGACACCGUGAGUAGACUAGUGGGCUACAUCCAGGACGUACUCUGUGCCAUCGUAGACAGUGUGCUGGAUUUAACUAAAGGAACCACCGACACAAGCUUCAUGGACCCUGUGGUUGUUGGUAGAAAUGUCUUCUGUGUUACUAAUGACUUUCUGAGUGGAAUAGCCGGAUACAUCCAGGAUGUGCUCUCUGCCGCCUUGGACGUGAUACUGGACACAGUAAAAUAUCUGCAGCAUGCUGUGGGAUUCAGCCCGACGUCAGCUCUAAAGAGAACAGCAGAAAUCAGCACAGAGCAGAUGAACACGCUUGUGAGCUACGUCUCCACGCUGAUUGGUCAACAAGACAUCAUGCCAGAAGUUUCCAUUGACCCCAUGAAAGUGGUUGAAGAUGCUCUGUUGGAGGCCUCGGACAAGAAAGAUUUGUUCGUGGCUUACAUGUCGAGCAUGCUUGUUGCUGAUCGAGGAGAACCUGUUGUAAAUGUAGUAUCUGAAAAAGAUGAAGCUGUAGCUCUCCCAUCUAAUUUGAAUAUGUUACGAAGAAAAGGAGAAUUUCUUCCGUCUUUGGGAAAAGUUACAGAGAUCAUGCAAGCUGCCAAAGAUGCUGCUGCUGCUUCUGCUGCUGAAGCCCCAGACUCAAAGAUCAAGGAGGAGGAUGGAGACGUUUCCACUGAAGCUGCCUACGAAGUGGACGUGGAGGAGGAGGAGGAUGUGAAACAUAUCAACCUUGAAGAAACAGAACAUGAACCACCAGCCAUCAAUGAAGGAGACAAGGUCGACAGAGAGGAGGAGGAACAUGAGGAGAUUCAAACAGAGGAGGAUGCGAUUUAUGAGGCGGAAGAAACAGAGGAUGCUGAAGGAGAAGAAGGUGGAGAUAUUAUUAAAACAGCCACUGAAGAAGAACAAGUAGAUGAACCAAGUGAGGAGCAGGAAGAGGAGAUCAAAGUUGAAGAUGUUUUGGCGAAAGAGGAGAAGGAAACACAUACAGAAGAGGAUGCAUUAAAAAAAGAUUUGGUAGUGGAAGUGGAGGAGGAGACCAUAUCUGAAGACAUUUUGGUAAAAGAGAGGGAGGAGGACGAAGAGGAGGAGGAGGAGAAAAAAACUGAAGAUGUUUUCGUAGACGAUGGUGAGGAAGAAGACGACAGAAAAACUGAAGUGGAAGUUGAGGAGGUGGAGGAUACUAACAUUGAAGAACACACCAUAGAAGAUGAUGAGGAGACAAAAACAGGACUUCUGGUAGAGGAGGAGGAGGAAGUGGUGGUGUUGGUGGUGCAGGAGGUCAAGCAUGAGGAGGACGGGGAGGUACAAAAUGAAGAGAUUUUAGUAGAAGAUGGUGAGGAAGAAGAGGAGAGUAAAACUGAAGUGGAAGUGGAGGAGACUAUAAUGGAGGAACAUGCAGGAGAGGAUGAAACAAAUAUAGAACUUGUGGCAGAAUUAGAGGAGGAGGAGGAGGAGGAAGAGGAGGAGGACGACGUGUUGAUAGGAGAUGGUGAGGAAGAGAAGGAGACAAAAACAGAAGAUGCAGUUGAAUAUUUGGAAGACAAUAAAGAGGAGGAGGAGGAAGACGGCGAGGACGAAGAGACAACAACAGAACUUGUAAUUGAAAACGAGGAGGAGACCGAAUCUGAAGAAGAUUUGGCAGAGGCUGGGAUAGAUGAUGAGAAAAAAACAGUAGAAGUUCAAGUAAAAUCAUUGGAAGAUUUUGAUGAGGAGGAGAACGAAGAUGAAGAUCUUCGUGUUGAUGAAGGAAGCGACAAAGAAAUAAAUGAAAUUACUGAUAUCAACGAUCAGCUUUCUAAAACUAACCAGGAACUAGGAGCUUUAGAUGCUGAAGAUAAAAAGAAUUUAGAGGAGGAGGAAGCAGAAGAACCGUUCAGAGUGGAGACGACGGAAGUGGACAAAGGAGAUGAAGAAGAAGAGCCAUCUGCCCAACGUCUUGAUUUUGAAAUUAUAUCAUCUAAAACACCAAAUAAUGCAGGUGUCAUACCCGAAUCCAACAACGUUAUAGAAGAGGAAACAACAGUCAAUGAAUACUCUGACAUCAUCAACGAACGUGAUGAAAACAAUGAUGAGAUUGAAAGCGUGAAAUCUGAAUCUGAACAAAAAAGGGAGGUUCAUGUUCCCUUUGAGAGACUGAGAAGAGUCGGCUCCAGAGCUGCUCACAAAGAGGAACACCUUCACAAACGUGGGAAAGUUCUCAAAGCGGCAAAGGAAAGACGAAAAGAAGUUAAAGACGCCAUUAUCAAAGACCUCGAGGAGGAGAAAAAAGAGGGAGCCAAACUUGAGGAAAUCAUUGAAAAGAAACCAAAAGAAGAAAAGCUAAAGGAAGAGGCUAAACCAUUUGAGAAGAAACCACUGAAGCACAAAGAAGAGACUAAAAAGAAGGAAGAACCCAAUAAACCACCUAAAGGAGAGAAAAGAGUGAAGCAUACUAAGGAGGAGAAAGAAACAAAACAGGUGACAGAAGCGAAGAAAACCAAUAAAACAGAAAGACGCCAAGAAACCAUCUAAAACAGAACAAGAUGUCAUGAAACCAUCCACUGGAGUCAAGAAACCACUAAAAGAAGACAAAGUAGUCAAGCUACUACUUAAAGAAGAGAAAGAGGUUCAGAAAGAAACUAAAGCAGAGAAAGAGGAAAAGAAAUCAUUAAAAGGAGUCAAAAAAAUACCUCAAGAUGAGAAAGAGGAAAGGGAAGUUAAGAAAGCAUCUAUAGAGGAGAGAGAAGUCGAGAAACCAUCUCAAGGUGAGAAGGAGGUCAAGAAACUACAUGAAGAAGAGAAAGAAGUCAGGAAACCAAUUCAAGAAAAGGAAGCAGUAAAGAAAUCAUCUCACAAAGUGAAAGAAGUCCAGAAACAAACUCAAGCAGAGAAAAACAUCAAGAAACCAUCUAGAGAAGAGAGGUAUGUGAAGAAAAACGACAAAAAAGAAGUGAAGAAACCACCUAUAGAGGAGAAAGAGAUCACGAAAGCAUCUCCAGAAGUGAAAGAGAUCAAGAAACCAUCUGAAGAACAGACAGAGGUCAAGAAGACUAGACAAGAAACACAAUACAAGAAAGAAGAGAAAGAAGUCACAAAAGCAUUUGAGGAAGAGAGAGAAGUCAAGAGACUAUCAAGAAAAGAUAAUAAUGUUGAGAAACCAUCUGAAGAAGAAAAAGAAGUCAUAAAAAUCCCUGGACAAGAGAAACAAGUCAGGAAACCAAUUGCAGAAAAGAAAGAGGUAAAUAUAUCAUCUCAAGAAGAGAAGGAACCUCAAAAACCAACUCAGGCCCUGAAGAAAGUCAAGAAACGAUCGAAAGAACAGACGACGGUCACGAAACACACUAGACAAGAAAAACAAUGCAAUAAACCCACUCGAGUUGAGAAAGUAGUUGAAAAAAAACCUGAAGAGGAGAAAGAAGUCACAAAACCACGUGAAGAGAGCAAAGUCAAGACACCAUCCAGAGAGGAGAAAAGAGUCAAGACGCCACUAAAAGAAGAGAAACAAAUCAAGAAAACAUCUAAAGAGGAGAAACCAUUCAGGGAAACUUCUAAAGAAGAGAAAGAGGGCAAGAAAACACCUAAAGAACUGAAAAAAGUCAAGAUUCCACACAGAGACGAGAAAGAGCUCAAGACUCCACCCAAAGAGGAGAAAAAGAUCAAGACACCACCGAAAGGAAGGAAAGAAGUCAAGACUCCACCCAAAGAGGAGAAAGAAGUCAAGACACCACCCAAAGAGGAAAAAGCAGACAAGAAACCACUUAAAGAAAAGAAAGAGGUCAAGACUCCACCCAAAGAGGAGAAAGAAGUCAAGACACCACCCAAAGUGGAGAAAGAAGUCAAGACACCACCCAAAGAAAAGAAAGAAGUCAAGACUCAACUUAAAGAAAAGAAAGAGAUCAAGACUCCACCCAAAGAGGACAUAGAAAUCAAGACACCACCCAAAGUGGAGAAAGAAGUCAAGACACCACCCAAAGAGGAGAAAGCAGACAAGAAACCACUUAAAGAAAAGAAAGAGGUCAAUACUCUACCCAAAGAGGAGAAAGAACUCAAGACACCACCCAAAGUGGAGAAAAAGGUCAAGACACCACCCGAAGAGGAGAAAGAAGUCAAGACACCACUCAAAGAAAAGAAAGCAGUCAGCACUCCAUCCAGAGAAAAGGGAGAAGUCAAGAUACUAUCUAACCGAGGAAAAGGAUUAAAGAAUUCGCCAAAAGAAGAAAAAGAAGCCAACAAACCAUUGAAAGUACAUAGAAAUGUAUACAAACCAUCAAGGGCGGAGAGGGAAGUUAAUACAUCUUCUUUAAAAGGAAGAGAAGCCAAGAAACAACUUAAAGAAGUUAAAGAAGCAAUAAAACCAUCUCAAGAAGAGAAAGAGGUGAGGAAACAUCUUAAAGAACAGAAAGAAGAGAUAAAACCUCUGAAAGAAGAACUAACUGAAAUGAAGUCUCACAAAGAUGAGAAUAAAUCACUCAAAGAAAGGCUACAAUUGAAACUGAAAAAGCCUCAAGAAGAAAUUGUAGCGAAAGUAAUGAAGCCCAAAGAACUGAAGGAAGCAGGGGAGCCUUCCAAGGAAAGGAAAGAAUUGAAGAAACAUUCAAAAGAAAAGGAAAUAAGGGAGCCACCGAAGGAGGACAAAGAAAUCAAGAGACCUACAAAAGAAAAAGAGAAAAAAGAGGUUAAGAAUCCAUCUGAAGAUGACAAAGAAGUAAAAUACUUAAAGAAAGGGACGGAAGACAAGAAGCCGUCUCUGAGGGAUAAAAAAGAAAAAAUACUUUCAGUGGAGGAAAAAGAAGUCAUCACACCCAUAAAGAAAGAAAGAGACCCAAAGAAAUCUUCAAUGGAGAAAAACCAAGCAAAACCUUCCAAAGAAAAGGCAGUUCCAAAAAAGCUCUCCAGAAGAAAACAAGCACAAGAGAAACCUUCAAGAGAUGGAAAGGAAUCAACAAUACUCUCUCGAAAGGAAGAAAAUGAACCAAAGAAGCUCUCUGAAGAACAAGACCCUGAGAAACCCUCCAAAGACCAGAGAGAAGUGACUCCCAAAGAGCAAAAGGAAGCAAAGAAAAUAUCUAUUGAAAACGUAGAACAAACAAAACCCUCCACAGAGAAAGAAAUCAAAAAGACCCAUAAAGACCAACCUGUCCAGAUUGGUGAUACUAAGAAAGAUGCUGGACCCAAAAAGGCUGAGAGGAGGAUUAAAGUAGUCAAGGAAGAGGUUGCAUCUGUUCUGAAGAAGGAACACCGUAAUGUCACAAACGCAGCUGUGGAACCCAAGAGGGCAGUCGAGGUGCUGAAAGCUGCCAAAAAGCAGAGAGUUCUUAUCCCGAAAAAGGAGCACAUGAUUGUGACAAAGACAGAGGUUCCUGAAACUCCUAAAGUGAAAGCCAAACAAGAAUCUGCAAAGAAAGUGGCAGCUCAUAAAGAGCCCGUACAGGAACCAAAGGAAAAAAUCACACCUACGCGUGUUAAACGAGAUGAUGAACCUAAGAAGGCUGCACAGAGGAUUAAAGUACUUCUCAAUGUUACGAAAGCAGAGAUUUCUAAACACCCUGACUUGAAAGCCAAACCAGAACCUGCGAAGAAAGACGUUUCAAAGGACAAAGCAAAAGCGGGUCCUGCUAAGAAAGAAGCUGUUGCUCUAAAAGAAAAGGCCAAAACAGUCAACAUGAAAAGAGAGGUCACAGUGCCAAAAAAGGAAGUCAAAGCAGCUUCUGCAAAAAAAGAAGCUGCUCUAAAAGAAAAUACAAAGACAAAAACCUCACAGAAAGAACCUGAGACCAAGCUGCUUCUCGCCAGAAAAGCAAUUAAGUUAACAAAGGAGACGCCUCAGCCACCUCGUGGAAAGAAAGCUCCUUCUAAAACUGAGGAUGACACCAAGGGAAAUGUCAAAUCCCUCCUCAGGAAGAAAGAACUGGAGACUCCUAAAGAAAAGAGCAAACUGGCUGCAGUGAAGAAAGCACCCGAGGUUCUAAAAGAAAAGGUCAAAACCUCUGCUGCAAAGAAAGAGGUCAGAGUUCGUAAAGAAAACGCAGAGCCUGUAAAACAAGAAAAAACAUUUGAGAAGAGGACAACCAAGGAGGAGAAAGCUAAAGAGGAUAGAGUUCUUAAAGAAAUACAAGAGCCAGCAAAGAAAGAAAGAUCUACUGAGAAGAAAGCUGCCAUGGAGGAGAAAAUAAAAGCUGGGCCUUCUGUAUCAGACAGCUUCCAAAUUGAAGAAGAGCUGCCCUACUUCCAGUGUUUCUUUUUGGACGAGGACGAGGCCCAAUUUCCUUUCCACGCCUUCUCGCCGAUGCAUAUUUGAGGCUUCAGUCUAAAUCCGGUCUGAGGUUUACAAUUUUUGUCAAUUUUACUGAUAAUGACCUGGUCACACCCUGCGCUGCUGAACGCAGCCUGCUGUUGGUUCUCACGAGAAAACCACGAACAGCAAAGGAUGAUGGGGGAUUUAAUGUGACGGUCGGACUUUCUUUCACUUCCAGAUUUGGUUGAGCUCUCGUACCGAAUACAUGCAGCCGGUGUCAUUCCUUUCCGUUUUGUUAUUUAUUUUGUGUGUUCAAUGGUUUUUAAAGGUGGAUAUCUUGGUGGAAUGGUGGAACUAUGUCGAGUAUUACCUCCGUGGAUCAUUCAUUUAGAUCCCCACAGCAACACAAGCAAAUGCAUUUUUUUUAGAAGGAGCACAAGGCUUUAAACAAGAUACAAAAUGGCCACAAUUGUGGAUUAAAGGUGGACAGAGCGUCGAUUCCCAGCGUUUACUUGAAAAGUGGUUCGUAGAGAAAUAGUAAGAAGAUUGUUAUGCACCAUAUGUAAUUUCAACUUUGUCCUUCAUCGCAUUGUUUAUGGGCAGAUUUUUAGUGCGUAUUUUAUUUUGCUUUUAAAGCCCUGGAAUUAACAAUUGGGCAUUUGUAGUGUUUGUUUAUUAUUCCAUUAUUCUUGAUAUCAUUUCAUUAAUUUCAAGGAAACCUUGUUUUUCACGUUCCUCUAUCUUACGAGAGAGAUGUAUUUUUCCGUUUUUGACUACGGCCUGUAAUGUGUCUAAAGGAAUGACCACGCAUUGUAUAUGAGAGCUCCCAGACGUACUGAUGAAACGCUACCUAUAAAGUCUUAUUUAACUGUGGACAUAUGCACACGCUCCUCAUUUGGGCGUUGGCGCUGAAAACGAGCAUUGCCUCGCCUGUACCUGUCAGAAUGAAUGAAGACGUGUUGUAAAAGGAUUUUCCCAACUGCUCACUCGGUUCCAAUUCCUUGACUUUAGGCGUUUGAAUUUGAUGAAACUUGUUGAAGUCAAUAAGAGAGAGCGAGUAAAAGAAUUGUCUCGCACAGUUGCACUGGUCACUCGAUAGACCAAAAAUGUGUGCAAAUAUGUAAAUAGCCUACAUGAUAUAUUGCAGCAACCUUUUGAACAGGUUCCUAACAUAUGACAUUUUAUUCAUGCAUAACUUAUAUUACAUGCAAAGGAUUUGUAUUACCUUUAACAAAUAUCCUGUGCUGUACAGUAUGGGUGACAUUAUUUCAGAUUGAUUUUGAAUACAAUUACUGGUCAGAACUUGAAUCCAAGUUAUAUUUUUGAAAUCUCUGAAGAGUGAUCGUGUGAAAGAUGAUGACAAGAGCUGCGAUAAUCAGCUCUGCAGGUUUUGAAGACCUGGAUGUUGCUACGGUGGUUAUGUUGGUAUCAAAGUGAAACAUUGAGAAGAAACAUUUACACAUUUGAAAAUAUCUGCACAUCAUGUGGCUACACUUUAAAUGGAUGCAGAUGGCGUCACAUGAUCUCGGAUGUAAACUGGUACGUGGACUCUCAGCCCGUACAAGCUGUUGUUUACCUGUGCCUCUUUAAAUUCUGCUCCAUAUGCCGCAUAGAAGACAGUUCGUGGAGCUUGUGCCACUUAUCCCAAGUCCACUCAAAUCCCCUUAUCUGUUUGGUUAGAAUAAUAGUCCAUGCAGUCGAUGGGGCAUAGGUCCUUUUUCCAAAAGUCGCAGCCUGCUGUCUUUGCAUGUGUAUUUUGAGAUGCAGAAUUGGAGCAAAAUAUUGCUGCUAGAAUGACAAAUGGCGUUUUGAUUUGAGUGGACAAUAGAGGAAUAUUUGUUUUUAUGGUUUGAAUUGAAUUUGACCUGAAAUGGACUUGUCAGGAUGUGCAAUACAGAAUUAAUUUAUGAAUAUCUGAUUGAUCAGAACCCUGUACAUUUAUCUUUUAGUCCUUGAAUGAAAUAUGCAUGAAGUGUGUUCGUGUUUAAUGUUUUUUGUGAUGGUUUUUACCUCCUUUGAGAAUAGCAACACAUUGGAAGUUAUCGAGUCACAUUUGAAAUAAUCUUAUUGUAAAUUGUUAAAUAAGUGGCAAGAUUGAUCGAUUUAUCAUCACUACUGCAACUGCUUUAACUGUAACCAAACGAAUGUGCCUAUGUGAAGAGUAGCAAUGUGACAUUAAAACAUAGCAAGUGUU
ensembl:lncRNA